rnacentral:tRNA from 1 species
UCCGGGACGCCGUGCUGGUUCGGCAACGGGUCUUUGGAACCCGCCUGCGCAGGUUCGAAUCCUGCUCCCGGAGC